rnacentral:lncRNA from 1 species
GUAGCUCGCUUCUGGGCGGAUCUGGCUCGAGCGAGUAGCUGAGCCCCUUGGACGAAGUGACGGUUGGCUUGGACCGUAGCUCGGUUCUUGAGACGGAGCUUGGCUAGGGCUUGUUUGGGGAGCUUGUACAUAGCAACGAAUAUAACUAGGGUUAGGAUCAGAAGCCCCGCUUGUACAAGAACAUCGGGAGCCAUGCUUCCAAACAAUCCCACAAACCCUUUCCGAGUAUGAUGAUAGGACUAGAAGCAGCCAAGCAGGAGCAGGUAAAUGGCUGUAAAAGGGCCUUUCGAUGGACGAGGGCCCAACUCAUUUGAUCCAGUGCAACCGGACCCACCUAACUAGUGUUGUGGACCCUAUUGUUGCAGCCCAGUUGCCAAAUAGUUUGUGUGACAGGCUGACAGCCAACACACUUAAGAAAACAACCUAGUUUUUAGCGACUCAUGAACCCUAGCCCACUUCCACUCUAAAUUUCACCUUCUGUUUAUGCUUGUCACAUAUUUUGAAUAUCUUUUCCUCUAGUUUGUUUGAUUUGUCAAAUAUUUUUUUUUUAAAAAAACAUGGUAUAAUGCACAAAUAUUACAAAUAUUGCUAAUAAAGGAAAUUAGGGAACAUGCCCCGACAUUUAUUUUUCCUUAGAUAUCAUGUUAAAAUAGUGAACUUAUAAUGUUGUAUUUAAAUAAAGACUUUUGGGAAUGAGACGUAUAAUGGAAUUGGUUCAUGAAGCUAACAUCUUUUCUUCAAUUUCUUUUAGUCCCUAAAUCUUCAUUGUUUACCCAUCCUGAGUGGGUCAGUUUCCCACUUCACAAUCACAAAUAUUUACAACCAUGAUGGAUGACCGAGAAGCAUAGCAAAUAAACAUAAAAUUUCUAAUCUGUAUGCAAUACAACUACACACCAUCCGCAUAUGCUUCUUCUCUUAUAUGCUUGUGCAUUGUUCAUAUGCUUCCUCGGCUAGUCUUCUCUACACAACAAUACAUCCCCUAGGAAAACCAAUACAACUUUUUGGUUUUGGGAUGCUAAGACUUAAUUCUAUCUUAACUGGUGUGGCAUAUAUUGUAGGGCCACACCAUUCUAAACUUUCACACUGAUAACUGCACAAAAGCAGCAGCAACAACAAUGGUGAAGAAGGUAUGCACCAAGGGGUCAUUCCAGAACCAGCUCCAUAUGGCGAUUGAGAUCCCUCAGAUAGCUAGUAGGGGUAUAGUCUGCCAAGUCAGAGUCAUCUAAAAUGAGGGCUCUCCCCACAUUGGACUUCUGCUUUGGUUCUGGUGAUUUGCCCUCUCCCCUCAGUAGCUGC